ACGGGUGAGUAAUAUAUCGGAACGUGCCCAGUCGUGGGGGAUAACUACUCGAAAGAGUAGCUAAUACCGCAUACGACCUGAGGGUGAAAGCGGGGGAUCGCAAGACCUCGCGCGAUUGGAGCGGCCGAUAUCAGAUUAGGUAGUUGGUGGGGUAAAAGCCCACCAAGCCAACGAUCUGUAGCUGGUCUGAGAGGACGACCAGCCACACUGGGACUGAGACACGGCCCAGACUCCUACGGGAGGCAGCAGUGGGGAAUUUUGGACAAUGGGCGCAAGCCUGAUCCAGCCAUGCCGCGUGCGGGAAGAAGGCCUUCGGGUUGUAAACCGCUUUUGUCAGGGAAGAAAAGGUUCUGGUUAAUACCUGGGACUCAUGACGGUACCUGAAGAAUAAGCACCGGCUAACUACGUGCCAGCAGCCGCGGUAAUACGUAGGGUGCAAGCGUUAAUCGGAAUUACUGGGCGUAAAGCGUGCGCAGGCGGUUAUGCAAGACAGAGGUGAAAUCCCCGGGCUCAACCUGGGAACUGCCUUUGUGACUGCAUAGCUAGAGUACGGUAGAGGGGGAUGGAAUUCCGCGUGUAGCAGUGAAAUGCGU
rnacentral:rRNA from 6 species